rnacentral:lncRNA from 1 species
AUUUGUAGUUCACUUGCUUGUAUAUACAUGCAACAGCCAACUCCACUUUGCCAUAAUUAAUCAGACUCCACAUCAGACCCUGCCACUUAUCAGCUAACCUAGGAAAGUUCAUCAUUCAACUGCUUGGAGCUUCCACGAGCAAACCUAUAAAAGAGGAAUAAUAAUGGGACCCUUUCUGUUUCGUGGAGAUGCUGGGGUGACCAGGAAAGUUGAAAGAGCACACCUGGUAAUACACAUGGAAAUGACCAGAGAAUCCCUGGGGCUCACCAACCACUCCAGCCUGAUUGGUGAACUCCAGACCAAUGAGUGUCCCUGUCUCAAAAGAGAAGACUGACAGGUGAACUCCAGACCAAUGAAUGUCCCUGUCUCAAAGAAGGAGAAUGACAUUCCUAAGGUUGAAGGCUAAGAUUUUUCUCUGUCCUCCACUUGCAACCACAACCACAAACUUGCGCGUGCUCGAGAACACACACACACACACACACACACACCCCUACACCUGGCUCCAAGUGCUAACAUUUGCUAAGAGUGCUUUAUCCUGACACCCCCUGCAUAUACAUAUUAUCACUUCCAAAAAUCAUCUGAGAGUAAGACAUAAUACUCCUUUAUUGAAAAUUCUUGAGUGUUUUCUAAGAGAAAAGACAUCCUCUAUCAAAAUAAUCAAAAUCAGAGUAGAGCCAUCAGUUACAACACUGUUAUCUAAUCUAAACAUUUCAUCAACUCUUAUUGAUGGGGGAAAAAAGAAAAAGAAAGAAAUUCUAGUCCAGGAGUCCAUGUUACCUUCAGUUGUCACAGCUCACAAGAGGGUAUUUCCUGUUAGUAAAGAUAAAUGUUUUAUUUUCUGUUUCUUUCAUUAAUCAUACAUGCAUAACCUAUGUAUAUCUAUUUUAACUUAGCAUUAACAAAGAUUCUUCUGAUAAAACUGUACACAGACUCCCUUAAGCUUUUUGGCAGACUGGCCUCCCAUCCCUGGAUCCUUUCUUCUUCCUGUCUGGUCCAAAUUUGCAAGCAUCUUACUUGGUCAGUUGAGUGAGAUCCCAGCGCAUUUGACAUUUGUCCUCAAUAUCUAUUUGAAUCCUCCCUGUACUUUUGAUCUCUGAUUGUUCUUGCCUGUCUUUAACCAGAAUCCUGUCUGGUUAGUUUACAAGAAGCUGCCUAUCUUUGAUUUUGACUCUUAGUGAUUUUUCCACCAGCUCACUAACUGACUCCCUCCAAACUCUGCUCCUUGGCUGUAAUCUUCAAUUCUUUUUGUCCCAUCUCACACCUAAUUGCAGUACUCCCCAUUACAACCCUCAUUACCAUUUUAAUAAAUACCAGAAUGACUUCCUCUUUAAUAGACUUGAAGAGGGAAGUAGAGACAAAAGGGUCGCCAUGACUUCGAAGCCAUUCUAACCUAGGUAGAAAGUUCCAGGCAAUCAUGAUGAUAUGGGCAACCUCAGUCUCAAUUUCUACCCACAAAACAGAGCCAAGUACAAAUAGAGACAAUACUGAAAUCUGUGUAUAAGCCAAUGAUAACUAUUUAUGUGUUUAAUAGCCAUGUGUGAUGUCCUCCAGGGGCCAGCUUUCCCCACAGAAUACUCAGGGUUUAGAAGUUCAACUUCUAGAUUUUUCUAAUUCUUCCACUGUAUCCAGCAUUGCUCUCAUAACUCAGAGCUUGGCUAUAACACAGAAGGUGCUACUGUAGAGAAAUGGGUUAUGGGUAGGCUGUCCACCUGCCUUAUUUGCCACACCAGACCCUAUAGAGACUGGUUGACAGCUUGAAUAAAGGGCUGGAGUAGCUCAAGAGAAUCUGAAUGGAAGCCUAGACAACCUGCAGCUGUGCAUGCAGUAUGACUUCCCCCCAAAUUCCAAGAGUGGCCAAGGAUUCAGCUCAUCACAAUGGAACAUGCCUGGGUCUAGCUCCCCAGCUUUCAGGAACCUUCCUUAUUUCACAUGUUUAAUUUAUUAGCAGUUUGCUCUGAUUUUCCUCAUGCUAGGAAAGUGUUCUCUCAUUAUCCUCUCCCCCCUCCCCUCCAGUCUUCACACCACCUACAGUAACAGCCUUGGGUGGUGACCACUUGUCUUAGUCACUGUUCACUGUUCUAUUGCCUUGAAGAGACACCAUGACUAAGGCAACUCAUAAAAGGAAGCAUUUAACUGGAGGGCUUGCUUAUGGUUUCAGAGGGUCAGCUAUUAUUAUCAUAGCAGGAAGCAUGGCUGCAGGCAGGCAGAGGCUGGAGCAGUAGCUGAGAACUAUAUCAUGAUCCAUAGACUGAAAGAGAAAGACUCUUGGCUGGCAGUAGGCUUCUGAAACCUCAAAGCCCACCCCCCACCCCCCCAGUGACACACUUCCCCCAACGAGGCCACACCUCCUAAUCCUUCUAAUCCUGUCAAAGAGUUCCACUCCCUGGAGGUCAAGCAUUCAAAUCUUUGAGCCUGUGGGACAAUUCUUAUUCAAACCACCACACCAUUGCCAUUCCAAGUAUGGAAGAAAAGCUAGAUCAGCUAGAAUAGAGCAGGCUGAGGUCUCAGGGCAGUACCACCCUAAACACCUUCCACCAGGCUGAGGUCUCAGGGCAGUACCACCCUAAACACCUUCCCCCAGGCUGAGGUCUCAGGGCAGUACCACCCUAAACACCUUCCCCCAGGCUGAGGUCUCAGGGCAGUACCACCCUAAACAUCUUCCCCCAGGCUGAGGUCUCAGGGCAGUACCACCCUAAACACCUUUCCCCAGGUUGAGGUCUCAGGGCAGUACCACCCUAAACAUCUUCUCCCAAUGUCAGAGUUGCUGUUGUGCCUGUGUCUUUUUUUUUUUUUUUUUGAUUUGCAGUAGCUAAUGACUAACAGCUGACCUCUGUUGUCUCUGUGUGUGUCUAUGUAUGUGUCUUUAGGUGUGCAUGUGUCUCGUCUGUGUGUCUGUGUGUGUAGAUGGAAAUGCUUUCACCACACACCAUCCAAGACCCAUUCUCAGAGUCUUAUGUGUGGUGGCUAGUCUUGGCUGUCAAGUUGACCAC